UCAAAAUUUUACAACACCAAAAUCAGAAGUGGCGAGCUGUUCUGUCCAAAUACCAGCUGCCUUUAGUGGCAGGUGCAGAGAGUUUAUAUAAUGUAGUCCCUUCUUGAUUGGCGGCGAAUUCAGAAGAACCAGGAAAUGAAUAGUCCAACAUGAACUCCCGGAGACGUCCAGCAGGAGGAGUGCAGAGCACGCAGGGAGAUCAGAGUCCGUCAGGAACAGCGAAGAAGAGGGUAUCCAGCGAAGAAGAAAUCCGAUCCUAUCAGAAACAGCGGUACCGAUAGCACGGAGGAAAACGGUGCUUUUCAGCGACAUCGGCUGGCCAGUCUGUUGAUGAAGUUCUUGGAAGACCAAAUGUAGAAAAGAAUCUGGUCAUGGCAUUAAUGAUUGAACUAGCAGUGAUUUUACGGAGAGGAAUGGCUUCAGGGUAGCGAGUGGAAGCGCACAUUAAGGUAAGUAAAAACUGAUUACCAGAUUUGGUUCGUGGUAAAGGACCCACACAAUCCAUAAUGAUGCGUUCAAAUGGUUCUUUCACUGCAGGAAUUGGAUGGAGCGGAGCAUUUGGUAUGGUCUGGUUAGGCUUUCCAGCCAUCUGACAUAUGUGGCAACUGCGGCAGAAUUUAACCACAUCUGUUUUUAAUCCAGGCCAGUAAAAGUGUUUCAAAAUCA